rnacentral:rRNA from 1 species
UUGACCUCGGAUCAGGUAGGAUUACCCGCUGAACUUAAGCAUAUCAAUAAGCGGAGGAAAAGAAACCAACAGGGAUUGCCCCAGUAACGGCGAGUGAAGCGGCAACAGCUCAGAUUUGGAAUCUGGCCUUCGGGCCCGAGUUGUAAUCUGGAGAGGAUGCUUCUGGCGCGGUGCCUUCCGAGUUCCCUGGAACGGGACGCCGGAGAGGGUGAGAGCCCCGUACGGUUGGACACCUAGCCUCUGUGAAGCUCCUUCGACGAGUCGAGUAGUUUGGGAAUGCUGCUCAAAAUGGGAGGUAAAUUUCUUCUAAAGCUAAAUAUUGGCCAGAGACCGAUAGCGCACAAGUAGAGUGAUCGAAAGAUGAAAAGCACUUUGAAAAGAGAGUUAAAAAGUACGUGAAAUUGUUGAAAGGGAAGCGCCCGUGGCCAGACUUGCGCUGCGCGGACCACCCAGCGUUCUCGCUGGUGCACUCCGCGCGGCGCAGGCCAGCAUCGGUUUUCCUAGGGGGAUAAAGGUCGCGGGAACGUAGCUCCUCCGGGAGUGUUAUAGCCCGUGGCGUCAUGCCCCUGGGGGGACCGAGGACCGCGCUUCGGCAAGGAUGCUGGC